CCAUAGCUCAGAGGUAGAGCAUCUGCUUUGCAUGCAGAACUCUCAGGUUCAACAUCUGGCUUCUGGG